GGAUGUGAGGGUGAUCUAGCUGCGACACAUCACCCCAUUGAGCACCAGGGUUGAUUUGGCUGAUCUGGCUGGCUAGGUGGGUGUCGCCUUCCUCCCUCACCGCUCUUUGUGCAUCCCUCCCGAAGACGCAUGCUCAGUCAAAGGGGAUAACCAUCCCUGAUAAAGGAGGGCCAGUCUUCCACCAAGGGUAUAAGAAUAGCUACGAUCCCCUGCUAGAAAAUUCAAACAAGCUCUCAAAUAGGUGGAUUUUUUUUUUAAAUUUUUUUAUUGUUGUUUUGUUGUUUUAUUUUUCUUUUGAGAUGCCAUCUCACUCUGUCACCCAGGCUGGAGUG
rfam:Papio anubis isolate 1X1155 chromosome 6, whole genome shotgun sequence.